AUGUUGAGUGCUCAUCCAUUAAUCAGUAGAACUAUUUCAGAUAAUCCUGGUGGCACUUUUCAUGAUCAGCUGCUGUCACGACUGUCUGUGGCGGAUGGCAAGGAGGAGGUGGCCGAUGCUAAGGAGGUGUGCGUCAUCUGCCUAGGCGACUACGACGACGGCGAGGCGGUCCAUGUAUUGCCGCUCUGCGGCCACCAAUUCCACGCCCAUUGCAUCGAGACGUGGCUCGGUGACAACCCGUCCUGCCCUUCCUGCCGCCGCACCGUCGCCGUCGAGCUGCCGGCCGCCCAGCAGUAA
rnacentral:rRNA from 1 species